ensembl:lncRNA
AAAAUUAAUUAAAAGCUCCUGUUGACUGCUUCCCACUCUGAAAAGAAGGUGGAGAAUCUUAUUCUCUUAACUUUAAUGAUUGUUUAUUUAUCUUUUAUGGGGUUUUAUAUCAUAGUCGAGAGAGGUUUUUUCAGCUGCUUGACUCCCUUUUGCCAUCUGCUAUUUUUUGUUCACACACCAUCCCCACGCACCCAGCCCCCCCGUAGUAUUUAUUCUUAUUUUGUCAGAUCCCCGUCUAACUCGUCAAGUCUCUGAGCGGCUCCUUUGUAUUCCGAAUCUCGAUCCGAUUCCCUUAACCUCUCCCCCACCCACUCACCGCCAGCCCCGCUCCGGAGGCUGCUGAUGGGGAUCUGAUGGAUCCUCCUGCCGGGCGCAGCUCCCGACUCUCCCCGUAGAUUCCUUAACAAUCGGCAGCACCGAACUAAGCCGACUACCUCUCCCAAGCAAGGCUCACCUCUAAAGGUCCCGUUUCCCCGAGCCACCUCCCAGACAGAACCGCUGGUGGUGCUCACAGGGGCGCUGUGCCGGUGCCCCUGCCGCAGGGGUAGUCCUCGGCUCUCCCCUCCCCACGGGGUGGGGGCCAGGCUCAGCACCCUCCCUGCUCGGCGGUGAAACACGACCGGGGGGACCCGGGACCUCGCUGCAGCUGCCAGCUCCGAGUCCCGCUCCUGAGCCACACGCUGGCGCAAAACACCCGGGGACCCUGCUAGCACUUGCCGCCGGCCAUUCAUAAAUCCUGCGUGUGUGUGUGCCCGGCGCCGCGGACAUGGGGCUCUAACGUGGCGAAGGCGGUAUUUCUGACACAGCCUGAUCCCGGCUCCGCAACUUUGCCAUCUGGGAGCAGGCAAAGGGCACCGCGGCUUUAGAUUGCCCGGGGCUAGAAUUACCAGAAAGGAAAAGAGUAAGAAAUGAAAUCCCAACUGUACCUGACGGUGUCUGGGAAUCCCUCGCCGGCACCGAUCGUAAUCCCCCUUCGCGCCUCUGGCCCCCCACACCAAAACUUUGCCGCCGCCGCUCCUCGGUGGUGGCCGCCGCCGCCCUCCUCCCGGCGCCGCUCCCGGCCGGCCCCGCGGGCCCGUUCCCCGCCGGCCGCCGCCGCUCCGAGCGAACCCCGCGCCUCCCGCGCCUUCCUCCGCCCUUACGAGGCGGCGGCAUCGUCCUACCCCCUGCUCCGCCACCUCCUCCUCCGGCGCGCAGCCCACGGCUCUGGCAUUCCCAACGCACUUUCUCUCCUCGAUUCGCUCUCUCUUUCCCCCGCCGUUCCUCCUUCUCCGGUAAAAAAUAAACGAGAGGGAACCGCGGCUACCCUUGAUCUUGGGGUUUCUUUCCGGAUUUUUUGGUUGUUUGCCCCUUUUUUUUUUUUUUUUUUUUUUUUUGUCUCUUUCUGUCCUCUGGAAAUGAUGAAAAGAUCACAUGAGGAGCAGGCACGGCGACCCAGGACCUUCGUAAGUCGGAGAAGGCAUCGGACACAUACCGUACAUCUGGGAGAUGAUUUUGGAAGUGUGAAGAAGACAAAACAUCACUUCCUGGCAUGUGUUCUACUCCAGAUGAGCAUGUCAGCACUCUCUUUUUGAUUGCUUACCUGGUGUUAGUGCUCUGUGAAGGGAUCCUGUCGCCACAGGAUUGUUUCCCACUCAGGUUAGUGGAAAUUGUCAAACUGUGUGUCAGCCUUUUUCGAAUCCCAAAUCUAGCUGGGCAGUAAUGAAAGAGCAAUGCCCUUUUUAAGCCAGUGUAAAUCACAGAGCAUCUACUCUGGAUGUCUUGUUCAGUGCCUAAUCACUGAAUGCUGGGUAUGGAGGGAGUGUUCUCAUAUUAUCAGGACAGAAGUUCUCCUUCUUCUCUCUUCUCAGAAGAAUAUAAUUAGCUAACUGCACAUCCUCAUGGACUCCAGUUUUUCAAAAAAGUCCAUACAAAUCACAAGUCAUCAUGGCUGGCAGUAAGUGCCUUGCUGUGUUGAAAUUUCAAAAAAUUCAUUUUCUUACAUGACCUGAACUCUUAAGUCAUAAAAAUAAUAUCAGUCUGACUGCCUGCUUGCGUUUGCCAUGUUUUGCUUCUAAUUUAAGAGCAGUUUAAUUAUUUUCAGAGCGGUUGAUGAUAACAUCUUUUAAGAGCUGAAAAAGCCUUACAAAUGAUGUUGCAAAAGAUUUGAUGUUUUCUCAGGAAUGGUCUUUCACCCUUCCAGUCUGGAUUUCU